UACGGAAGGGUGCAAGCGUUACUCGGAAUUACUGGGCGUAAAGCGUGCGUAGGUGGUGAGUAAGUCUGCGUGAAAGCCCCGGGCUCAACCUGGGAAUGGCGAUGGAUACUGGCUCGCUAGAGUGCGGUAGAGGACAGGUGGAACUUCCCGGUGUAGCGGUGAAAUGCGUAGAUAUCGGGAGGAACAUCAGUGGCGAAGGCGGCUGUCUGGCCCAAUACUGACACUCAGGUGCGACAGCGUGGGGA
rnacentral:rRNA from 1 species